rnacentral:rRNA from 1 species
GACGAACGCUGGCGGCGUGCUUAACACAUGCAAGUCGAACGGUAAGGCCCUUCGGGGUACACGAGUGGCGAACGGGUGAGUAACACGUGGGUGAUCUGCCCUGCACUUCGGGAUAAGCCUGGGAAACUGGGUCUAAUACCGGAUAGGACCACUGCCUGCAUGGGUGGGGGUGGAAAGCUUUUGCGGUGUGGGAUGGGCCCGCGGCCUAUCAGCUUGUUGGUGGGGUGAUGGCCUACCAAGGCGACGACGGGUAGCCGGCCUGAGAGGGUGACCGGACACACUGGGACUGAGAUACGGCCCAGACUCCUACGGGAGGCAGCAGUGGGGAAUAUUGCACAAUGGGCGCAAGCCUGAUGCAGCGACGCCGCGUGAGGGAUGACGGCCUUCGGGUUGUAAACCUCUUUCAGCACCGACGAAGCGCAAGUGACGGUAGGUGCAGAAGAAGGACCGGCCAACUACGUGCCAGCAGCCGCGGUAA